UACGUAGGGGGCAAGCGUUGUCCGGAAUCAUUGGGCGUAAAGCGCGUGUAGGCGGCCCGGUAAGUCCGCUGUGAAAGUCGGGGGCUCAACCCUCGAAUGCCGGUGGAUACUGUCUGGCUUGAGGCCGGGAGAGGGUAGCGGAAUUCCCAGUGUAGCGGUGAGAUGCGUAGAUAUUGGGAGGAACACCAGUGGCGAAGGCGGCUACCUGGACCGGUUCUGACGCUGAGGCGCGAAAGCGUGGGUAGCAAACAGG
rnacentral:rRNA from 1 species